rnacentral:rRNA from 1 species
UGGGUGACCUGCCCUCAGCUCUGGGAUAAGCCUGGGAAACUGGGUCUAAUACUGGAUAUUCACUUCUCAUCGCAUGGUGGGUGGUGGAAAGUUUUUCGGCUGGGGAUGGGCCCGCGGCCUAUCAGCUUGUUGGUGGGGUGAUGGCCUACCAAGGCGACGACGGGUAGCCGGCCUGAGAGGGCGUCCGGCCACACUGGGACUGAGACACGGCCCAGACUCCUACGGGA